GACGAAGGUGGCUAGCGUUAUUCGGAUUUACUGGGCAUAAAGCGCGCGUAGGCGGCUCGACAAGUCGGAGGUGAAAGCCUGCAGCUCAACUGCGGUGUGCCUCCGAAACUGUCGAGCUUGAGUGCGGGAGGGGUGAUUGGAACUCCAGGUGUAGCGGUGAAAUGCGUAGAUAUCUGGAGGAACACCAGAGGCGAAGGCGAAUCACUGGACCGCAACUGACGCUGAGGCGCGAAAGCUAGGGGAGCAAACAGG
rnacentral:rRNA from 1 species